AGAGGGCUGCACUCACCUGAACAUGCAUACAUUAUAGGGUGCUUCUGGGGCCAAAAUAUACAAAAUACAAAAUCCAGCGCACUCGCUUAAAGCGGGUGCGCUGGAUUUUGUAUUUUAUAUACAUAUAUAUAUAUAUAUAUAUAUAUAUAUUCAUAUACAUAAUUACAUGAAUAAUUUCAUAAAUAUA